GCAUGUGUCUUGCUCAGUUGGUAAGAGCAUGGUGCUGAUAAUGCCAAGGUUCAAUCCCCAUAUGCA